AGCAAUUCUCUCUGAAUCUGCGAACGGCUCCGCAAACCAGUUGUAAACUAUAGCAAGCAAGCCCGGCUUCCCUCUCACGGGGGGGGUCUGGUUAUAGGGAUAACCCUGGUAAUUCUGAGGCUAAUACCUUUACGUACAACCUUGCCGACCGGGAAACCGGAGAGCGGGGGGACGUGCGCGAGUUUUCGUGAGAUUUGCCGGGAAAGGACGCAUGUCAUGACCGCGCUACAACGAUGCUCCCCCUCACGGGGGGGUUUCUAGCGGCUCUUGCUGUGUGCUUCUGACCUAUCAACUAGAUGGCAGCGUAAGGGACAUGCUAUGGUGACAACGGGUACAGAGGAUUAGGGUUCGAUCCUGGAGAGUGGGCCUGAGAGAUUGCUCAUACUUCUAAGGAAGGCAGCAGGCGCGCAACGUUCCCAUUGAACAUCGUUCGAGGGCGUUAGGGGACAUAUGAAUGGCUGUCCUAUGGAUGGCCAAUUCAAAUGGGUUUGUUGUAAACAGGCUC
rnacentral:rRNA from 1 species